GAUUUGAUCAUGGCUCACNAUGAACGCUGGCGGUCUGCUUAACACAUGCAAGUCGAACNAACUCUUCGGAGUGAGUGGCGGACGGGUGAGUAACGCGUGAGAAUCUGCCUGUGGGUCGGGGACAACCACUGGAAACGGUGGCUAAUACCGGAUGAGCCGAAAGGUAAAAGAUUUAUUGCCCACAGAUGAGCUCGCGUCUGAUUAGCUAGUUGGUAAGGUAAAAGCGUACCAAGGCGACGAUCAGUAGCUGGUCUGAGAGGAUGAGCAGCCACACUGGGACUGAGACACGGCCCAGACUCCUACGGGAGGCAGCAGUGGGGAAUUUUCCGCAAUGGGCGAAAGCCUGACGGAGCAAGACCGCGUGGGGGAGGAAGGUUUUUGGAUCGUAAACCCCUUUUGUCAAGGAAGAAGCUCUGACGGUACUUGACGAAUAAGCCUCGGCUAACUCCGUGCCAGCAGCCGCGGUAAUACGGAGGAGGCAAGCGUUAUCCGGAAUGAUUGGGCGUAAAGCGUCUGUAGGUGGCCAGCUAAGUCUGCUGUUAAAGAUCACAGCUCAACUGUGGGAAGGCAGUGGAAACUGGCAAGCUAGAGGUUGGUAGGGGUAAAGGGAAUUCCCGGUGUANCGGUGAAAUGCGUANAUAUCGGGAAGAACACCGGUGGCGAAAGCGCUUUACUGGGCCAGACCUGACACUGAAGGACGAAAGCUUAGGGNAGCGAAAGGGAUUANAUACCCCUGUAGUCCUAGCUGUNAAACGAUGGAGACUAGGUGUAGCACGUAUCGACCCCGUGCUGUA
rnacentral:rRNA from 1 species